GACGAACGCUGGCGGCGUGCUUAACACAUGCAAGUCGAACGGAAAGGCCCUGCUUUUGUGGGGUGCUCGAGUGGCGAACGGGUGAGUAACACGUGAGUAACCUGCCCUUGACUUUGGGAUAACUUCAGGAAACUGGGGCUAAUACCGGAUAGGAGCUCCUGUUGCAUGGUGGGGGUUGGAAAGUUUCGGCGGUUGGGGAUGGACUCGCGGCUUAUCAGCUUGUUGGUGGGGUAGUGGCUUACCAAGGCUUUGACGGGUAGCCGGCCUGAGAGGGUGACCGGCGACAUUGGGACUGAGAUACGGCCCAGACUCCAACGGGAGGCAGCAGUGGGAAAUAUUGCACAAUGGGCGGAAGCCGGAUGCAGCAACGCCGCGUGCGGGAUGACGGCCUUCGGGUUGUAAACCGCUUUAGCCUGUGACGAAGCGUGAGUGACGGUAAUGGGUAAAGAAGCACCGGCUAACUACGUG
rnacentral:rRNA from 1 species